AUGUCAGAGGAAGUCCAAGGAAGAAUCUCUCCAAAAUGUUACCUUUCUCUCUUAAAAGAAAGCCACAGAAAGAAACACAUCCUCUUUCUAGAUGUGCUGCUUGGAGAUGCUGUACCCAGGUGCUACCAGCUAGAAGAGAAAGUCAUUGCUGAGGGUGGCAGAACAGAGCCUUUUGGUCCCAUGUCAUCCAGGACGCCAUAUUUUCAAAUUUUGGAUGACUGUUUUGUGCUGAGCUCCAAAGGAUGCAGAGGUAAGGAAGCCAGAGCUUUUGCUUUUAAGACAUUCACAGCCUUAAAAAUCUCAAAAUGCUUCCAUUUAAACAUGAGUGGCGCCAGGCCAAUUCUUAACUCUCAGCUGAAAGAAUCACAGGAGGAGGAAAACCAGUGAAAAGCUGGAUUGUCUUCAGACUGUGUUGAUGAAUGAUUCCAUGAAAUAUUAAGUUAGGAAAUGGUCUGUAAUUUAUGCUACAUUAAAAAGAAAUGACAUGUUUCUUUAAAUAGCCAGUCUUUCUAACGCAUUUAAAAUGUCAUUUGAUUUAAAAAGUUAGAUGUUCUGUAGGUUUGGGGGGAAAUGCAUACUUCGUUUUCAAAGCCCUUUAAUCCUCUGGACCCAAUGGCUGUGUUUAAGGAAGCACAGUCCUGACAAGGCUGCCUAAUAGGCUGCCUGGUCACUGCUUGCCUUGCCUUUUCAGCAGGUGUUUUCCUUGGCAUAAGGCCUCCCUUGUGGAAAAUGCCUCAUUCUGCCUGUCCUUAUAUAACCCUUUCCCUCAAAGAAAACCCUGUCCCCACCCCUUCAUACUUUGGCUCUUAAAGCCCAGGGUAUAUUUGAAUCUUUCACUUCCUCUAUAAGGUUCAGAGCCAGAGUCACAGCUGCCAUAAAGCGCUCCUCCCUCAGUCCAAACUAUGGCGAUUCCCUCAUCCUGAAUGUAGCCACCUUUCAUUUAAAACAGCAGAGCAUAAUGGCUAAGGCUUCAGGCUCUCGACUCAGCCUUCUAGAUUCAGGCAAGUUCUUUCAUCUGUCUCAGCUUUAGUUUUUUCACCUGAAAAUGGGGAUUAAAAACAAACAAACAAAAAAACCAACAAAAAAAAAAAAACCCUCAAAGGGUAACACUUAUAAAAGGGCUUGGAACAACCCAAAUAUCCACUAACAAACAAAUGGACAAACAAAAUGUCAGACAAGUAUAUAAUGGAAUAUUUAUUAUUCAGCCUUACAAAGAAACGCAAUUCUGAUGCAUGCUACGGAACAGAUCAAUUCUUGAGCCAUUGCACUAAGUGAAAUAAGCCAGGCACAAAAGGAUAAAUAGUGUAUAAUUCCACUCAUCUGAGGUCCCCAGAAUAGGAGACUACUAGAGACAGAAAGUACAACAGGAGUUACCAGGGGCCAGAGGAAGGAAAGAAUGAGAAAUUACUGUUUAUCGGAUACACUCUGUAGGAUUUGGGAUGAGGAGGAAGUUCUGGAGAUGAAAAGUGGUGCUGGUUGCACAGCAGUGUGAAUGCAUGUCCUGCCACUGAACUGUACACUUAAAACUGGUUACAUGGGGAGCUCCCAUUGCGGCGCAGCGGAACAAAUCUGACCAGUAUCCUUGAGGUUGCAGCUUCGAUCCCUGGCGUCGCUCAGUGGUUGGGGAUCCAGCAUGGCCGUGAGCUGUGGUGUAGGUUGCAGAUGCAGCUCAGAUCCCGCAUUGCUGUAGAUGUGGCAUAGGCUGGCUUCGACCCCUAGCCUGGGAACUUCCAUAUGUGGUGAACGAGGUCCUAAAAAGCAAAAGUAAAACACAAUCAAUAAAAUAGUUAACUUAUGGAGUUCCCUGGUGGCU
rnacentral:lncRNA from 1 species